rfam:Oribacterium sp. ACB1 genomic scaffold acqcx-supercont2.1, whole genome shotgun sequence.
GGGCUUGUACCGGUUUCGACGGGGAUGAUGCAGCUUUAGAAGCUAUCCGAAAGAAGUCGCGUUAAACUUCAAAAUUAAAAUUAAACGCUAACGAUAAUAGUUACGCAUUAGCAGCCUAAGCGCUGCUGGCCAGCCUUCUCUCACUCACAGGAGAAGAUCCUGACCUCAUUUAUGUGGGAAACGACGCGUAUGGUUCCUCCCAUGCUCGGGCGUAUGUAGAGGAUACCGACUCAUAAAAGAGGUGCACAGCUUUUAUGAGUGGGGAAUCUUGAAGUGUACUAUGAUAGUAGAAGGAAAGGGAAUUCGUUUUCGGACAUGGGUUCGACUCCCAUCAGGUCCACGA